AGUCGUUGUUAUGGUUGGUGGCGUUGUGAUGGUUGUUAGUAGUGGUGAUGCGUUGUUGUUUUGCUGCUGUUCAUGAUACGUAGUGUAGAAUUAGUUUAGGGAAUUUAGUAAUAUGAUUGGAAUUAAGAUCGUGAAGGAUUUUCAUAUUGGGAAUUACCUAUGAUUAUAUUUCCUAGUUUAGAUUAGUUUAAGUUUGGUUUUUAAUUAUCGUUAUAAUUGUGAGGUGAUUCUUGGAGGAUGAUUUUGGAGAUGAAGAUUAUUGAAGGUGUUGUUGGAUUUGUAUUACGAUUCAGGUUUGGUAUCAAAGGCUCGGAAUUGGAAGUGGAGCAAGAUCAAGGUGUCAUAGGGGCUUAGUUACAAGCUUGUAUUUUAGAUAGUUGGUUUGAGAAUAGUUAUUGAUAUUUUCGAUGUAUAAUAUUUGGGAAUCUAGUUGAGAUAAUUGUGUUAUUUUAAGGAUUUUAUUUUGUGGGCCAAUAACCCACAGGUCCAGGAUCGAUUUCUAGGUUAUAUUUCCGCUGCGA